rnacentral:ncRNA from 1 species
AGCUUUGGAGAAUCUCAUUAAAUUGAGUACCGAAGGUGCAAGGCACACUAGCAGUGCUGAAUCUCUCAGGUAAAAAGACAAGG